AACGAACGCUGGCGGCAUGCCUAACACAUGCAAGUCGAACGAGACCUUCGGGUCUAGUUGCGCACGGGUGCGUAACGCGUGGGAACCUGCCCUUAGGUUCGGAAUAACUCCCCGAAAGGGGUGCUAAUACCGGAUAAUGUCUUCGGACCAAAGAUUUAUCGCCUUUGGAUGGGCCCGCGUUGGAUUAGCUAGUUGGUAGGGUAAAAGCCUACCAAGGCGACGAUCCAUAGCUGGUCUGAGAGGAUGAUCAGCCACACUGGGACUGAGACACGGACCAGACUCCUACGGGAGGCAGCAGUGGGGAAUAUUGGACAAUGGGCGAAAGCCUGAUCCGGCAAUGCCGCGUGAGUGAUGAAGGCCUUAGGGUUGUAAAGCUCUUUUACACGGGAUGACAAUGACAGUACCGGGAGAAUAAGCUCCGGCUAACUCCGUG
rnacentral:rRNA from 1 species